rnacentral:rRNA from 1 species
AAUAGAUACCCGGGUAGUCCACGCCGUAAACGAUGAGUGCUAAGUGUUAGAGGGUUUCCGCCCUUUAGUGCUACAGCUAACGCAUUAAGCACUCCGCCUGGGGAGUACGGCCGCAAGGCUGAAACUCAAAGGAAUUGACGGGGGCCCGCACAAGCGGUGGAGCAUGUGGUUUAAUUCGAAGCAACGCGAAGAACCUUACCAGGUCUUGACAUCCUCUGCCAACCCUAGAGAUAGGGCGUUCCCCUUCGGGGGACAGAGUGACAGGUGGUGCAUGGUUGUCGUCAGCUCGUGUCGUGAGAUGUUGGGUUAAGUCCCGCAACGAGCGCAACCCUUGAUCUUAGUUGCCAGCAUUCAGUUGGGCACUCUAAGGUGACUGCCGGUGACAAACCGGAGGAAGGUGGGGAUGACGUCAAAUCAUCAUGCCCCUUAUGACCUGGGCUACACACGUGCUACAAUGGAUGGUACAAAGAGCUGCGAACCCGCGAGGGUAAGCCAAUCUCAUAAAGCCAUUCUCAGUUCGGA